rnacentral:tRNA from 1 species
GCGGGUGUAGUUUAGUGGUAAAACGACUCUCUUCCAAGGAGUAGUCGCGGGUCCGAUUCCCGCCACCCGCUCCA